GGUGAGAUGGCCGAGCGGUCUAAGGCGCCAGACUAAGGAUCAGCUUCAUUGUGAAGCACCGACUACUUACGUAAUCUGGUCCUCCGGGGCGUGGGUUCGAAUCCCACUCUCAUCA